rnacentral:rRNA from 1 species
GCUUGUCUCAAGAUUAAGCCAUGCAUGUGUAAGUUUAAAUAAAUCUAAACUGUGAAACUGCGAAUGGCUCAUUAUAUCAGUUAUAGUCUACUCGAUAGUACCUUACUACUUGGAUAACCGUAGUAAUUCUAGAGCUAAUACAUGCGUAAAUACCCAACUGCUUGUCGGACGGGUAGCAUUUAUUAGAUUGAAACCAAUGCAGCUUCGGCUGGUAUUGUGUUGAGUCAUAAUAACUGUGCGGAUCGCUUUUUAAGCGAUAAAUCGAUUGAGUUUCUGCCCUAUCAGCUUUGGAUGGUAGGAUAUGGGCCUACCAUGGCGUUAACGGGUAACGGGGAAUUAGGGUUUGAUUCCGGAGAGGGAGCCUUAGAAACGGCUACCACAUCCAAGGAAGGCAGCAGG